rnacentral:rRNA from 1 species
AACGAACGCUGGCGGCAGGCUUAACACAUGCAAGUCGAACGCCCCGCAAGGGGAGUGGCAGACGGGUGAGCAACGCGUGGGAAUCUACCCAGUUCUGCGGAACAACAGUUGGAAACGACUGCUAAUACCGCAUACGCCCUACGGGGGAAAGAUUUAUCGGAAUUGGAUGAGCCCGCGUAAGAUUAGCUAGUUGGUGGGGUAAUGGCCUACCAAGGCGACGAUCUUUAGCUGGUCUGAGAGGAUGAUCAGCCACACUGGGACUGAGACACGGCCCAGACUCCUACGGGAGGCAGCAGUGGGGAAUAUUGGACAAGGGGCGCAAGCCUGAUCCAGCCAUGCCGCGUGAGUGAUGAAGGCCUUAGGGUUGUAAAGCUCUUUCACCGAUGAAGAUAAUGACGGUAGUCGGAGAAGAAGCCCCGGCUAACUUCGUGCCAGCCGCCGCUGUAACAC